rnacentral:snRNA from 1 species
AUGCUCGCUUCGGCAGCCCGUACACUAAGCUUGGAAUGAUACAGAGAUGAUUAGCAUGGCCCCUGCACAAAUAUGACAUGCAAAUUCAUGAGGCGUUCCAUAUUUUU